rnacentral:rRNA from 1 species
AUUGAACGCUGGCGGCAUGCCUUACACAUGCAAGUCGAACGGUAACAGGUCUUCGGAUGCUGACGAGUGGCGAACGGGUGAGUAAUACAUCGGAACGUGCCUAGUAGUGGGGGAUAACUACUCGAAAGAGUGGCUAAUACCGCAUGAGAUCUACGGAUGAAAGCAGGGGAUCGCAAGACCUUGUGCUACUAGAGCGGCCGAUGGCAGAUUAGGUAGUUGGUGGGAUAAGAGCUUACCAAGCCGACGAUCUGUAGCUGGUCUGAGAUGACGAUCAGCCACACUGGGACUGAGACACGGCCCAGACUCCUACGGGAGGCAGCAGUGGGGAAUUUUGGACAAUGGGCGAAAGCCUGAUCCAGCAAUGCCGCGUGCAGGAUGAAGGCCUUCGGGUUGUAAACUGCUUUUGUACGGAACGAAAAGCCCUGGGUUAAUACCCUGGGGUCAUGACGGUACCGUAAGAAUAAGCACCGGCUAACUACGUGCCAGCCGCCGCAGUAA